rnacentral:rRNA from 1 species
GCACAAGCGGAGGAACAUGUGGUUUAAUUCGAUGAUACGCGAGGAACCUUACCUGGGCUUAAAUGUAGAGUGCAUUUUCUAGAGAUAGGAAUUCCCUUCGGGGCUUUCUGCAAGGUGCUGCAUGGUUGUCGUCAGCUCGUGCCGUGAGGUGUCGGGUUAAGUCCCAUAACGAGCGCAACCCUUAUCGUUAGUUGCCAUCUGGUAAAGCAGGGGACUCUAGCGAAACUGCCACCGUAAGGUGAGAGGAAGGUGGGGAUGACGUCAAAUCAGCACGGCCCUUAUGUCCAGGGCUACACACGUGUUACAAUGGCCGGUACAGAGGGCAGCUACCUGGUGACAGGAUGCUAAUCUCGAAAACCGGUCUCAGUUCGGAUCGAAGUCUGCAACUCGACUUCGUGAAGCUGGAUUCGCUAGUAAUCGCGGAUCAGCACGCCGCGGUGAAUACAUUCCCGGGCCUU